ensembl:lncRNA
GCGAGCCGGGUUGGUCCCCAGCGCCCCCGGCCCGCGAAGCGGCCGUCGCCGCCGUGUUAGCGCCGGCGGGCUCCGUGGUGACAGCCGUGUCUCCCCUUCUCCGGCACGUCUGUUGCGGCGGCGCCAGCCCGCUCCCUCUGCCGCCAGCAGUCCCUGUUCCCUGCUCGGUCCCUCACGCUUCCGCCGGGACACGGUCCACACCCCCGUCACGUGACCCGGAGCCAGCCUCACUCCAGCGGGGGCUGCCAUCUUGGAUUCGGACAGGUAUCCUGGCGGCUCCGCUGACAGUGAAGCUGCGGGCGGCCAUCUUGGGUCCGGGCUAGGGAAUCUCCACAGGGGUGAGGCGGCGGCCAUCUUGGGUCCGGGUGUGAAGCCAGUUGGCUUCCCCGCGACGCCCGGAGAGCGGCGCGGGUGUUUUCCCGAGGGAGCCAUGUUGGAUACGGGCAAGCCGAGCCCUCCCGCUGUGGCCAUCUUGAGGCCUGGCAGAGACGCGCCGUCGGGUUCAUGGGUGGAGGAAGGCGGUGUAUCAGCGUGUCCUUCCUGGGUAAUGCUGAAAGGCAAAGUUACUGAAGAACUCGAAGUGGAAUACCUCUGCUUUUUGCCCUGGUAGAGAGGAAUGGGAAGCAGUAGUGUGGUUGGAAGGACUGACACUGCAGGCUUCCUAGAAAAGUCAAGCUACCAGUCCAUCAAUGAAGAAUACAGUCACAACUCUUCUAUUUUGCAAUCAUAAUUCUAUUUUACGUUGCUUUUUUAAUGUUCUUUUGAAUAUGUGCACUUUGGUUGUCCUGUCCCUUCCUCUUUCUUGCGUUUAAUUUCCUGUUCCUUUACUAAUAGCUGCAAUGGACUUUGAGAAGGAAAUAUUUUCAGGAAGAGUGACUUUGAUUUGAAGAAAGGUCUAUAUGCAGAAUGGCAGCAAGAUUUUAAAGAUCCCCUGGGUAUGUUUUUACCUUGUUUCUGUGGUGGGAGCUGGGAUAGGAAGAAGUCGGGAGAACAGAUGCUUGAGGACUCUUGUUAUUCUUGUAACUUAAUUUUAGGCUGAGAAAUGGGGUGAACUGAGAAGUACUUGAACUUUUGAGUGAAUGCUGUUAGCCUCUGGAAAUGCCCCCUACUUCUAUUCUGGAAUAUUUUCCUGGAAUAUUCAGACUGUGCCRUGAACGGAGAUCAUUGUGCCUCCUUAUGUGACUGGGGUUCUUGAGUUUCCACACUAUCAGCGAUCUUGCAGCACUCCUUGCUAGAAGAGAUAGGGCUGAUUUAGUUUGAUGGGUGGCAUUUUGUUUGUUUACAGGGAACUAAUAACCAAAGCAGUGGCUUCUGUCUCAUCUUGGCUUCCAUCAGGAGGUACAUUCUGUCUCUUCCUUCAGUAACUGAACUAUUGCAAUAUGCCACCUUUCCCCUCUGCAGGGUUUUUCUCGAAACAAGAAAAUUGCACUGUCUAGUUUCCCAUCUGUUGCCCGAUUACACGCAAAUAGAAACAGCCGGCCUUGUGAGCAGAGAUACAGGAAGAAGAUGGGGGGUGCUGCUCUUCUGCGAUAGCCACUAGGAGAGACCAACUGUCUGCUGCUGUCACAACCUCUCCUUUCCAGAGAGGUUGGCACAAAGCCCGGGCUACUUUGCCACCUCGUGCCUCUCCCCCUUCUCUUAUCUAGCUGUGCCACAGCUUCCCAGGCUCCUGUGUUGGAUAGAUCUGCCACACCCAUUUCACUUGGACAGAUACUUCCUUUUCCUAAACCCACAUAACUGCCCAGCUGGACGCAGAAAAUAUCCUUGGAGCCAUAGCUGGUAAAAUCUGCUCAAAGGUUUAGUAGAGGUAUAGUGAGGGAAAAGGAUUUAUGAUAAUGACCUUUAUGUGAGGACUAAUUAGACUAAAACAUGCUUUAGGGGACUAAAACAAGAAAACUGCGUGUUGUAAAGUCUUCAAAGAAAUCACACAAGCUAAUAUAAUGUUUAAAUGGAGGAAACGAUCAGAAAUGAUACYUCAGGAACAGAAAGUUAGAGGACGGUGAAUGACUGGCUACUGAAAGAGCCCUGGGCAGGUGCAAAGACCUUUUCCUCUGCAUGUGCAGGUAUGAGACUGCAGGGACAAAUGGAGAUGAGGCAGACCUUGAAAAAGGCUGGGGGUCAGAUUUCUGGAUAUUUUAGCACUUGCAACUGAAAAACUAUUUUUAGUACUGGCAAUAGGUUUUGCAGUGCUCAUAAAUAAAUUCAGCACUCCAAAUCCUGAACA